UGGUAGAACCGGGGUAAGCGUGUAGGAGGAGGACCAGGCAAAUCCGGGCCUCAUAUACUCUGAGACGUGAUACCGAGCCGCUUCAGGCGAAGUCAUUAAUCCUAUGCUGCCUAGAAAAGCCCAGUAGCGAGUUGACAUGGUGCCCGUACCCCAAACCAACACAGGUGGACAGGUAGAGCAUACCAAGGCGAGUGGGAUAACUAUGGUUAAGGAACUCGGCAAAUUUCCUCCGUAACUUCGGGAUAAGGAGGACCCCAGUAGCGUGACGAGACUUGCUCUCCGAGCGUGAAGGGGUGGCACAAAAUUGAGGGAAGCGACUGUUUACCAAAAACACAGCAGCGUGCUAAGCCGUAAGGCGCUGUAUACGCUGUGACUCCUGCCCGGUGCUGGAAGGUUACGGGGAUGGGUUAGUCCUUUGGGACGAAGCUCUGAACCUAAGCCCCAGUAAACGGCGGCCGUAACUAUAGCGGUCCUAAGGUAGCGAAAUUCCUUGUCGGGUAAGUUCCGACCUGCACGAAUGGAGUAACGACUUCCCUACAGUCUCAACCAUAGACCCAGCGAAAUUGAAGUACGAGUAAAGAUGCUCGUUAGCUGCAGAAGGACGGAAAGACCCCGUGGACCUUUACUAUAACUUGAUGUUGUGUUUUGUCAUAUGUUGUGUAGGAUAGGUGGGAGACAAGGAAGCAUGGACGCUAGUCUGUGUGGAGUCAUCGUUGAAAUACCACCCUGCAUAUGGUGAGGCUCUAACCUAGACCCGUUAUCCGGGUUGGGGACAGCGUCAGGCGGGUAGUUUAACUGGGGCGGUUGCCUCCUAAAGAGUAACGGAGGCGCCCAAAGGUUCCCUCAGCCUGGUUGGCAAUCAGGCGCCGAGUGCAAUGGCAAAAGGGAGCUUGACUGCGAGACCUACAAGUCGAGCAGGAGCGAAAGCUGGGCAUAGUGAUCCGGCGGUUGCGUGUGGAAGCGCCGUCGCUCAACGGAUAAAAGGUACCCCGGGGAUAACAGGCUAAUCUUGCCCAAGCGUCCAUAGCGACGGCAAGGUUUGGCACCUCGAUGUCGGCUCAUCGCAUCCUGGGGCUGAAGCAGGUCCCAAGGGUUGGGCUGUUCGCCCAUUAAAGCGGUACGCGAGCUGGGUUCAGAACGUCGUGAGACAGUUCGGUCCCUAUCCUCUGUAGCCGUAGGUGAAUUGAGGAAAGCUGUCCCUAGUACGUG
rnacentral:rRNA from 1 species